AAACAAUCUUUAUUCAAACGCCAUGGGUAACAAAACUUUUUCUAUUCUUUUUGCUGUAUUAGCAGUUUUUGUAGUGAUGCAGUAUGUGUUGUGUGAUAAAAAUAAUAUUCCGUCUGAGCACCUGGAUGCAGACCCAGCAAUCAGUGCGAACAGCGCCGUGCUAAGCUCUCCAGCAAGAAAUCGCCUCUGCCUCGUCGCCGCAUGUUACCAC
rnacentral:misc_RNA from 1 species